rnacentral:rRNA from 5 species
CAGUGAUAAACUGGAGGAAGGUGGGGAUGACGUCAAGUCAUCAUGGCCCUUACGACCAGGGCUACACACGUGCUACAAUGGCGCAUACAAAGAGAAGCGACCUCGCGAGAGCAAGCGGACCUCAUAAAGUGCGUCGUAGUCCGGAUUGGAGUCUGCAACUCGACUCCAUGAAGUCGGAAUCGCUAGUAAUCGUGGAUCAGAAUGCCACGGUGAAUACGUUCCCGGGCCUUGUACACACCGCCCGUCACACCAUGGGAGUGGGUUGCAAAAGAAGUAGGU